AGUGGUUAAAUGACAUAAAACAGAAAAUUGAAAGUCUAUAAACAGUGCUAGAAAGUGUUUCCAAAGAUUUGAAUUCCAAUCCCAAUAAACACCAAAGCUGCAACUAACAUAAAGGGUUGCUUACUUUUAGAUCUUGUAAUUUAUGGUAUGUAAAGAAGUAUCAGUUGCUUAAUAGAAUGCAUUUCUAGGAAUUAGGUUAUUGACUUUAGUGGGAAAAUAGUUGGGCCAAAAAUAUGUUGGAGUUAUUUUUAUGAGAGGUGACAAAGUCUUUCCCACUAUAGCUACAAUAAAGAUCUCCUUACAAAAUACAGGCAGAAUUAUGAGUUUUAAUAAGUAAUGGUCACCAAGAACUACCUCGUUCAGCCACCAACCAGAAGAUAUUUCCACUCUAACAAGAAAUGGAUAAACCUGAAUGCCCAAGCAAAUUAUUUUCCAGGUAUGUGUGAGUAUGAUUAUUUCUUCCCUAAUGCAAAAGAACUUUAAUGUAAAAGAAGCUGAAAUAACACAUCACUUGGAGAAAAUCUAAGUUGCUCAGCCUUUAAUCUAUUUAACAAAAAUAACUGCCAUCACUGUGGUGAAGAGGGAAGUUGAAACAGAAGUCCCAGUAUGCAGGCUUGGAAGUCAUGGUAUGCAAUCUAUUCAUCUAACAUCCCACAUCUUGAAAACUGGCAAUAUAUGUGUCUGAUGUUCUGAGAAGUGCUGAUAUGGCAUAACUCUGUUUAGUGGCCCAUUUAUGUAGAGAAUAGCUCUCCUGCUAAAGUGUAAAAUAAAAUAAUCUUUUGGCGUAGUUGGAGGAUACAAAAAUAAGUUACAUGCACUGGAUCUGUAUUUCAGUUUUUAAAAUGUUUUGAGGCCAUGGAGAUACAGUAGUUGAGCAAUUAGGCAACUCUCACUACAUUUUUAGAACUUGGGAGACGCCUUCUGAUUGCUCAGGCACUUCAAGCUCCACUUCAGAAACAAGCAGAUAAUCUUUGAUUUAUUUGGUGUAUUUGAGAAGUGGGUAAGUAAGUGCUGUAUCACCCCAGUUAGAAGCAGGUAAACUCCAUUUUCCCAUUAUAGUGUUAUGAACUUGUGUCUCUGACCAGUGCAGCUUGACCUGAGAAGCCUGAGGAGGCAGGAUGAGCCUGUGGUUGUGCCAGGGGCAAGGCUUCUGACGAUCCCAUGUUAUUUAAUUAAGCCUGAUGUAGGUGUAAGUCUUCCUCCCACCUUCUGCUGUAAACCUGCAGAACCUACAGAACCUACAGAACCUACAAACCAGGCAGAAGAGGUGGCGGAAGCGCCGAUGUCCUCUGCCUGGAGGAGAGGAUGGACCCUAGUGUCACGCAGGGCAAUGCUGCCCAGCGGCACGUGGAAGUACCCUGCUGCUGAGCACUGUGGCCACAUUACAUCAUCAGACAACAGUAGCGAAAGUUGCCUUUAACAUACGCUACGGAGGGAGAUGCAGGAAUGGCUGUUUCCCCUGCAGAUCCCAGGGAGAUCUGGCAGAUAAGUUGUCAGGAUUUGUUGGUUUUUUGUAGAGCCCUAGCUUUGGGAGUCAUGUGACUGCAGGAUAAGCUCCGUUUUCAUUGAAUGAACAAAUACGACUGAAUUUCCAGGCCCUGUGGAUUUCAGGAAGAGUUUGAAAACAUCACUUCUAAGCACAGAAAAGAUGAUUAUAAAGCCAAUAAAAAACAAUGAUUGCAA